GCAUCCAUGGCUGAAUGGUGAAAGCGCCCACCAACCUAGAAAGGAAAAAUGGGUCAAAAAGUAGGUUCGAUUCCUGCCGGAUGCA
rnacentral:tRNA from 1 species